GUAUAUAUAGUAUAAUAAUAAUAUAAUGGAUUUAGGAUUCAUAGAUAUAUUGUAUACU
rnacentral:tRNA from 1 species